GACCAAUGCUCUGAGUCUGAAGCCGGAACUUGUGCUUUUUAUUUUUGGAUAUCUUAUUGUUAGAACAAAUGGGAAAAAUGUGGGUCUGUCAGCCAAAGCACAAGUUGCCCUUGUGCUCCUUUUCAAAUCAAAUGUCAUAUUGACUCAAAUCCAACAUUGGAAGCAUGUGGCGAGUUGCAGCACAUCGGCCCUGUGCAAUGUAUCCAUCAAACUGGAAGGAAACCCAAAACCAAAUCUCCAUUGGUCAAAACACAUCUUCUGCAGAAACCCCAAGUACCUCCUAAACCUGUCCAUCUCAAACCUGGGCAGGAAAGAAUUCCUCCAGCACCUUCUCGGCCUUUGCCAGCUGAUCCCAAGUCAUCAAGAAGCUUAGUGCCUGAAGAGGAAGAAACACAGACAUCAUCAGGAGUCAACAUCCUCAUUGAAAAAUUUGAAAGUAUUAGGCAACCUACCCACGUUCUUCAAAGAAACC
rnacentral:lncRNA from 1 species